rnacentral:rRNA from 1 species
UACGUAGGGAGCAAGCGUUGUCCGGAAUCAUUGGGCGUAAAGCGCGCGUAGGCGGUCAGGUAAGUCCGGUGUGAAAGUCAAAGGCUCAACCUUUGAAUGCCGCUGGAAACUGCCUGACUUGAGUCCGGAAGGGGCGAGUGGAAUUCCUGGUGUAGCGGUGAAAUGCGCAGAUAUCAGGAGGAACACCAAUGGCGAAGGCAGCUCGCUGGAACGGUACUGACGCUGAGGCGCGAAAGCGUGGGGAGCGAACAGG